GCCGGGCGUGGUGGUGCACACCUGUAAUCCCAGCUACUCGGGAGGCUGAGGCAGGAGAAUCGCUUGAACCCAGGACGUGGGGGUUGCAGUGAGCCUAGAUUGCACCACUGCACUCCAGCCUGGGUGACAGAGCGAGACUCCAUCUCAA
rnacentral:SRP_RNA from 1 species